rnacentral:rRNA from 1 species
ACGGAAGGUCCAGGCGUUAUCCGGAUUUAUUGGGUUUAAAGGGAGCGUAGGCUGGAGAUUAAGUGUGUUGUGAAAUGUAGACGCUCAACGUCUGAAUUGCAGCGCAUACUGGUUUCCUUGAGUACGCACAACGUUGGCGGAAUUCGUCGUGUAGCGGUGAAAUGCUUAGAUAUGACGAAGAACUCCGAUUGCGACGGCAGCUGACGGGAGCGCAACUGACGCUUAAGCUCGAAGGUGAGGGUAUCGAACAG